AGUCAAUAGAUACCCGGGUAGUCCACGCCGUAAACGAUGAUUGCUAGGUGUGGGGGGUCUGACCCCUUCCGUGCCGGAGUUAAACACAAAUAAAGCAAUCCACCUGGGGAGUACGGCCGCAAGGUUGAAACUCAAAGGAAUUGACGGGGGCCCGCACAAGCAGUGGAGUAUGUGGUUUAAUUCGAAAGCAACGCGAAGAACCUUACCAGGUCUUGACAUCCACCGAAUCCUGUAGAGAUACGGGAGUGCCCUUCGGGGAACGGUGAGACAGGUGGUGCAUGGUUGUCGUCAGCUCGUGUCGUGAGAUGUUGGGUUAAGUCCCGCAACGAGCGCAACCCUUGUGAAUAGUUGCUACGAAAGAGCACUCUAUUCAGACCGCCGUUGACAAAACGGAGGAAGGUGGGGAUGACGUCAAAUCAUCAUGCCCCUUAUGACCUGGGCUACACACGUACUACAAUGGUCGUCAACAGAGGGAAGCAAGACCGCGAGGUGGAGCGAAACCCCUAAAAACCGAAUCUCAGUUCAGAUUGCAGGCUGAAACU
rnacentral:rRNA from 1 species